rnacentral:tRNA from 1 species
CAUAGAUAAAAACUUAAAGUUUCUAAAGUUAAUUAACAUUAGAUUACAGA